UUAAGGAUUUUGACCUAGCGACAGUGAAGGUGCGGCGAUAUAUUUCCAAGUCAGGAUGGUGAGUGGCUGAAGGGGUAUCUUGGAGUUGGUGGUGUUCCCAUGUGCUUGCUGCUCUUGUUCUUCAAGGUGGUGGAGUUGGUAGUUUUUGAGGUAUUGUGGAAGAACCCUUGGCCAGUUGCUGCACUGUGUCUCCUUGCAUUGAUGCUCAAAGCCAUGGGGACACCAGAGGCCAAUUCCCCUCCACAGCAAUCUCGUUGAUCCCUUAACCUCUCUCCUGCACUUUUUACAAGGCUGACAACAUUCGUGCCACAAUCUUGCCACGUCUUUUAGCACAUUUCCUUUCCACUUGGGAGAUAAGCAUGCUGAUUAAGGCAGCGGCUUGAGCUAUGCAUUGGGUAUGUGCAUACGUGUGUGGGGUGGGUUUGCUCAUGGUGGAGGAGGGUAACCAAGAGCUGGGCAUUUUUAUGACCUGCUUACUAUUAGUUUCAUUCUGUCAUGACUCUAAUACUUCACACAACAGGUCCAGUUGAGGAUUGUUUAGUGUUGGGUGCAGUGUACAUACACUCUUAAGUUGGGUAAUAUCUCAGGCUGGGAGUGCAAAAGGCAGAGGUGAUCACACAGACAUCAUGCUUGCUGCUUCACAGACUCUUCACUCCCCUCGAUCUUUAUCCACCCAUCCUGCUGCUGAAUGAGAGGGGAGUGCAUGCGGAUAGCGCAACAGACACUGACUGGCGCUUUUAUAGCGCGAAUAUUGAUAUAACCUCCUUAAUGAAGUUAGCAGUCAAUCGGAACAAGUUUUCACAAUUCAGCCUUACUUUACUACCAUGAGGCCCUUGACACUUGGGAUUAUUUGGGAGUGUCUCUGAAAUGGAUGUCCUUUCAUAUUGGAUGACUGUACGUGUUUUUUGCAUUUGCUUAUGGGAUGUGUCUAGCCCACAAUGUAUUGCCCAUCCCCAAUUGCCCUUGAUAAAGGGCAAAUUCCAAUUUCAUGGUUUGUCUCUCCACAUGUAGACCAGGCUGGUUUCUCAGCAUCAGCACGGCCCUAACAAUCUGCCCUUAAAACCUUUUGUGUACGUCACUUCAGGUUUUCUGCAAACAGGGGGCUGGAUUUCACCAGCGGUGAGCGGACUGCUUGCCCUGACUGCACCCCCCUCCCACCUCGGUGGACAGUAAGUCCCACCCUCGAGAAAAGCCGGCCCAUCUGAUUGAAUGGCAGCUCUAGCCAGACCUGUGCGAGCAGGCCCACGGAAGAAAUUCACGGCAACCGGACCCAGGUACCGUGAAAUCUCCCCCAGGCACUUCACAGGAAGCUUAUCAGACAGAACUUGACACGGAACCACAUCAAGGAAAGGGAGCGGGAGUAGGUGACAAGGUCCUUCAAGCACAUGCUCCAUGCAUAAAGGAGAAUGAAGCUGUGUGCCAGAAGGCAUUGUAAGAUCUAGGAGAAGUAUGAAAAGCCUCCAAUAUUUAUGCAUUAAACCUGCUAUAUACAGAAACCGAAACUGGGAAAAGCCACUUUGAUUCAACUGUCUAGGGUAUUGUGGUAACUUGCUGGCAUCUGUUCAAAAUCUAUUUUCUUUUAACUGUUGCCUUAAUAGGGGUGUAACUGGAAACCAGAUUAAUUAGGAGUUUUAAGAGUUAUUAUAGU